GCGCCCGUGCGCGCGCCCGACGGGGUCUCGGCUGCUCCCUCCCCAAACUCACGCGGCGCGCGCCCGGAGCAUUUAAAGGGACAGGCCCCCGCGCCGGCGCCGCCCCGCAGCCGCCUCUCGGUGUCGGUGCGAGGUUUGAAUUGCGGACGAUCUGAGGAAACUCCAGCCCCAUCUCUGAGUUAAACACUCGGAGGAAAAAUAGGGAUUUGCAUCUGAAGCUCUGAAUAAGACGGGACAUUUUUUUCCCCUCCUUAGUCCGUUUUGAGAGAUUAUUUUACAUUUAAUGACAAUCAUGACUACCACGUAUCGAAUUCUUAUUACCCUUGGACAAGGCAUUUAACACACACAUUAUUUCAUUCAAUCCUUAGAACAACCCCCAAUUUCUUAUCCCCAUUUUACAGAGGAGGAAAACUGAGGUUCAGAAAGGAGAAGAAACUCGUCCAAGAGGUUUUGACCCCAUUCCUUGGUGCCAUUUCUUCUUUAUCACCGUGGAAAUAUCCACUGAGGUUAAUAGCUGGUUGUGGAAGGCUUCUGAGGAGAUACCUGAUUAAAGGGAAGAAAACUUUUUCACUAAUAACACAUUGGCCUCAUCUAACUCCCUGCAUCUUUUUUUUUUUUAAAGGUCGAUAUUCUGAAGGAGAAAUACAUGUGGAAGAAACAAAUGUGGAAGAAAAUGAAGUGUAAGCAUUUGGAGGCCAAAACAUGCUUCAGCUGUGCUUUAAAGAAAGAAAAUGGGCUUUUUGGAACCCUGGAUCUGAAUUCAUCGAAAGUAACUCCUGAAUACCGACCUACACAGAGACACCGUCAACUUCCACGGACCUACAGAGAAAACAUGGAUUUAAUUCACGUUUUGCUGAGCUAUUUAACUUUGCAAAACUGAUUUAGAAAAUGUGGUCUGAGAAUUUUAAGAAAUUUCUCAUGUCUGUGUCACAAGCCUGGACGGGGUGAAGGUGUGUGUGGGGAAACUGCACCCUGGCUGCAUUCAACUGGACCCGGAAAGUCUCAUGGGAGAUCUACGCUGUGCCGGGCAGUGUCCAGGCGCUGAGAAAUAAACAACAGAGGACUGAUGUGGCCCUGCAGGAACGCACACUCUUGUUCGGGGGCAGGGAGCAUGAUACACUAGACUGUGAUUAAAAAGAACAAUUCAGUGUGCUUCCUGCACAACAGAAGUGUCUACAAAGUGAUGGAAUGUCGCCGUCACCUCAAAGCCAGUAAGAGGGGCAGCAGGGUGGCCUGGGGUAGAGUCCGUGCUCAGAACUGGCCCCCCUGGAUUUCAGACGUAGCCCUGCCCCCUACCGGCUGUGUGAUGACAGGCAAGUCACUUAGUAUCUGUGUUUUAGUUUCUUUUCUGUAGAAUGGGGUUCAUAAAGCCUAGUGCAUAGAGACUUUAUGAGGAUUCAUGUAUUAACAUCCAGAAAAUGCUUAAACAGUGCCUGGCACAGAGCAAUCACUACAUCAGUCUAAGCACUGAUAUGCUUUAAAUCACACUCCACUUUGAUCAAUACAUUUUUUUUCCUGUUUCUAGAUUCCUAGAAGUUUCUAAACGUGGCCAGUACCAUCUCAAUACAGAGUUAGGUAAGGUAAAUAUUGAAAACAUACAACAGAAAAGGGAAAGAUUUCUUAAAUCUGUGAACAAAUACUUGCAAAUUGGGUCAGAGCUGAGAUGUUCCCGGGCAGGAAAGGCAGCCUGGAAGGAAACAUCGCUAGGAAAAUCAGCGAGGACGUCAGAGGAGCAUAAACCCCACAACACUGGACUCACCCGGCCCCCAGCCUCCCCGCCCCCUUUCCUGUGGGACAGCGGCCUCCCCUCCCCCGGGGAGCCAGAGGGCGCUGGCCCUCCCAUCCUGCAGGCCCAGGACGGCCUGCCAGCUUCUCGGGGGGCCUCUGGUUGGGACCUGAAAAAUACAUUCUGGGCUCCAGAACAUGAAAGAAAAACCCCUGCAAGACUGAAAUUUCGUAAGUUUAUUAACAGUAACAGGUGAGCUUCAAUAAGGCUGAUUUGAACUCUGGCCUCUUAACGACUGCCAGGAAAGAAUAAUCACUCAUUGGUCAAAUAUUUUAAAACAAUUUAAAAGCUUAGUGCAGUGGGUUUUCAGAGGACGGAGAGAGGAAAGGGGGCCCCUAGACAAAAUUAGGAUGAUUGUCGAUUUCACUCUGUAGGUGCUUCCCAGCCGGACAUUUUAAAAAGGUUCAGGUGUGGCCCCCAGGCUCUGAGGCUCCGUAAUGGAUUUCUCGUGCUCCAAUGUAAUCAGGUGUUUUCACUGUUCACCACUUCUCGGGAAAGAGGCCCAUCUCCUUUUGUAAAAGAGCAUUUUCUCUGAGCAAAGCUACCUGUUUCCGGUUUCACAGCAAGUUUCCACUGCUGUAGAAUCUGCAGUGUCAGAACCGGGAGGACAAGAGGGUCCCAGAAGGGGACCUGGGUGCUGAAAGAGGCUCCGUCACCUGCACCGUCACACAGCUAGAUGGUGGCAAUCCUCGGACUUGAACUCGGUGUUCUUCGAGGUUGAAUCUGUGCUUCUCCUGCAUCCCCUCGGUAAGCAAAGCUGUGUUGCCUUGGCUCUGCCAUUUCUGACUGGUUUCCUUUGAGUGCAUUGGUCGUCCAUCUCUCCAGGCUGGAACUGUGAUCUUUUCAGUACAUUGGGAGGACUGCGGUGUGGUGUCAGAGGCACGGGAUUCAGAGUCAUAUAGAUGCUGGCUCAAGUGUGGCCAAUGCCUUAACUACUCUGAGCCUUGCACAUACCAGGGGAGCAGAGAGAGCUCCUUCCGAGGGCUGCCUGUCAAGAGUUUCGGCCCAAUAAAUCUCCUGGGAGGCCCCCC